rnacentral:sRNA from 1 species
GCCAGGCAUGGUGGUGUACUCCUGUAAUCCCAGCGGCUUGAGAGGCUGAGGCAGGAGGAUUGCAAGUUCAAAGCCAGCCUCAGCAACUUAGCAAGGCACUUAGCAAGACCCUGCCUCUA